UACGAAGGGAGCUAGCGUUGUUCGGAAUUACUGGGCGUAAAGAGCGCGUAGGCGGUCUGUAAAGUUAGGAGUGAAAGCCCAAGGCUUAACCUUGGAAAUGCUCUUAAAACUCACAGACUAGAGAUUGGUAGAGGAUGGUGGAAUUCCUAGUGUAGAGGUGAAAUUCGUAGAUAUUAGGAGGAACACCGGUGGCGAAGGCGGCCAUCUGGCCAAUACUGACGCUGAGGCGCGAAAGCGUGGGGAGCAAACAGG
rnacentral:rRNA from 1 species